UUUCUGCAGUGAAAUUCUCUAUGUUGUAAAUUAUACAAAAGAGCCUACCCUCCCCCUGGAAGCCUGCAGAUUUCCAGCUCUACAUGUGAUUCAUGGAUGUGUAUUAUGGACUUGGCACUAUACCAGAAGCUAGGACUGCAAAUGGUUGCCCGCCUGCAAGGAACUCAUGAUGAGGCAAAAUGAGAAAGCGAGCCAUGUGUUUUUAGUAAUUCUACAGCUGUGUGUGUGCAACUGGUAAUACUAACAACUAUACCUGUGCUCUACCCAGGAGGGAAUAGAUGUUGACGGACACUAUUUGACAAGAAAAGCAAGACUCAGAAAUGGAAUGAAAUGAUAAACGAUUUCCAAUGUAUAAGAAUCUGACUUCUCUAUGUCUGGCUCCUCUCCUCGUUGUUAGUGAACUGUGAACAACUCAGCGUGACCAAUGAAAUGUUCAAAGCCAAUGCUGUUCGAGCCACUGAGUGGGCAUGUCUUUUUUCAUCUAUUCAUGUGUGCACUAAGUAUUUAUUGAGUACCUACCAUGUGCCAGGAACACGCUAACCAUAAGAGAUGACUCGGUGAACAUGAUAUAUCAUAUCAACCUUGUUUUUGGAACAUAGCUCUGUGUUGAUCAAAUGUGCUGAACUUGUAUAAAGGGAGUUGGUUAACAUUCAAUCCAGAACCAAACAGGAGUAGUCACUUCUGAAAAGAAAUUUGAUUUGGCUUACAUAACGUAAAAAAAUGUCCAACUCUUGCAUGGUGAGAAUUGUACUGCCAGAACCAGGUGUUAAGUCCUGGGGUGCUUGUGUUAAUGCUGGGACUGCCAAGACUUCCCAGAUCUCUGGGAUUCGGUGUGAUUUCCUUGUUGGUGCAGCGUGUUGCCAGGUUAAAGUGUUG